ACUUUAUGUGACCAUCUUUACUUGCCCAUCCUUCUGCUCCUUCGUCUGCAACCAGUAACUCUGCCCUACAGUAUAUCAUGAAGAUGCUCUUCUCAUGUCCUCCAAUUUUCAGACACGGUCUCUGCUCUUCUUUUCAAUUCACUUUCUCAUCUAAAUCUGUAACCCUAAUUCAAUUUCUUUACCUCAAAUCUCAACCAAAAAAAAACCUAAAUUCCGAAAUUAUUCAUCAAAACCCAACCCUCUGACUUUAUUAUGUUUAAGUUCAUCCUUAUUUCUACCGAUUCGCAGUGUAUCCAGCUUGAAUAUCAUCGAUUAACGUUUAAACAAAGAAUUAAGGUGUUCGAUUGUUUGAAUCUUGAAAGUUUAGAUUUAGCUGCUACAACGAAGUCGGAUGCUUACAUCAGCAAUUUGUAUUCGGUUGUGCGUGAUGAGAAUGGGAAUGUGAAGCUUGAUUGUCCAGCUAUUGGGAAACAGUUUUCUGCUGAAUAAAUUUCAGUACAGGUAUAUGUUAUUAUUUACCAGUAGUUGAUAACUAAUUAGGUUAGAACGUUAAAUUUCAGCACAGUAACUGUUUGCUGCUGAAGAAAAGUCAUCGAGAUGAUCAUCUCAAGUCAAUGUUUCUAGAAGCAUACACUUUUUCUACAAUGGAUCACCAAUUACAUCCUCAAGUUGUCGUCGGAUUAAUACAUUGUUAUGAGAGGUCUCCCAUGGUGAUCCCCAAAAGGAAGCAGUGUUGACUUUAUGGUGCUGGUACAACCACCAGUGGGGUAAGACAACCGCUUACGAGUCAGUCCGUCAAUGUUUUCAAGUGCACAUUAAUAAGAAACAAGUUGGAACCUGAAUAGGAACAAAUCAAUGGAACAAAGAUCGACUCGUCUAAAACAGUUUAAUUUGGUGAUUCUUGACUUUAUGAUCACCACUAGUGCGAUCUCAACAUAAUUCAUAAUACUUGGAUUGUUUAUUUAUUAUAUCUAGCAUUCGGAACUGAAAAUAGUGAUUAAAUAUACAAUCUUUUCUUAGAAUAAGAAGUUUAAUACCCAAAAAAUGUCCAACUUGAUCAUCUGCUUGAUUUCAUGAUUGAUUUUGUAUUUGGCCUAAGUUGUUGUGACAGUGUUUCCUUAAUCUAAUUUUGUAAUGCAUGAACUUCCCAUUACUAAAAGGCCAAAAGUUGCAGUUGUAAGCAGCGGUCCCGCAGAUUUGUUUGCGUCUCUUGUACUUGCCGAAUUUAGCGUUGAUGUUACUUUGAUGGAAAGAGGAAACCCAUAGAGAAACGUGGGCGUGAUAUUGGUGCUUUGGUGAUCAGAAAAAUACUACAAUCCAAAAGCAAUUUUUGUUUUGGCGAGGGUGGAGGAGGUACUUGGAGUGAUGGAAAGUUGGUAACUAGAAUCGGGAAGAACAACGGAAGUGUUUUGUCGGAUACCGAACCAGGAUAUUGGAAACAUCCUGCGGAGUAUCUUGGUCAUUACUAACAACUUGCUUGUAGACGUUGGCUAUAAAGGACUAACGUUCAUGAGGACCAAGUCACCCUGAAGAGUCGCUCAAAUUGUUUAGGAAAAGAACGUUAAAGCCGAAAGAAGUUGUCUACAACGGUCACAAGGGAAUAUUCCAAGUAUCCCGGAUUUUUAGGAUAGUUAGUUAAUUCUUGUAACUAUAUAAACAGAUGGCCAGAUCAUAGGAAACACACACAAUUCGAGCUCUCAUACUCGUACACUCUCAUUUCUAGCUGCAAACACACUUUAACACUCACAAUUUUCAAUAGUUGUAACACCUAGAUUCGAUCUGAGCAUUAUCCUGCAUUGUAUCCUGGUUAUUCAAGCAAUAAAAAGAACAAGGUAGCUGACGAUUGUCAGCUCCCAAGGUUUUAUGCCGGAGAUCUAAAUUGAUCAAGGGCUUUCCUCG